CGGGUUUACUCCUGGAUUACCUGUUCGCCUGGCCGGAGCCGGGCGACGUUUUGGUGUCUGAUUCGCUAGGCGAAUCGGGAGCACCAUCUGCGUAGGCUUGAGGUUUAAGGCUUGCGCCGCCUACGGUCUUGGAUAGCCCCCGCCAGGCAGGGACCCCAAUUUUUUCAAGCCGGCGGAUCGCUCCACCG
rnacentral:sRNA from 1 species